UACAGAUAGCUUUCUGGGCCUGCCUCAAAUCCCAGCCCUCCAUCCCACAUAGGAUGUCUGCUUCAAGUGCUUCACCACAGUAAUCAACAAUUAGCUGAUCGAUCAUUGGAGGAUCUCUCUGUGAUGUUUAGAUAAAGAGAAUAAUCCAUCAUUGCUUUGGAUCCCUUCAUCUCAGAAGAGAUCAGGAGCAGGACUAUGAGCAGAUAAGAACUAGUGGAGGGAGGAGCCCACUUGUUCCAGGCAGGAGGUUGUUCAGUUUUGGAAAUCCAGUGUCUGGAGUGGAGCCUGGCACACAGUAGGUACUCACAAAAUGUUUGCUAAAUGGAGAAACGAGUGAAGGAUGUGAAAAUCAGCUAAACACACAGCUUCCACUUGAGUCCUAUAAAAGACAAUCAUUUCAACUAGGCAAGUCUCAAAGAAGUCAUAGGUGAUUCCCUGUGGUGGCAGGAACCACAGAUAACUACUAC